CCUACGGGGGGCAGCAGUCGAGAAUCAUUCACAAUGGGGGAAACCCUGAUGGUGCGACGCCGCGUGGGGGAAUGAAGGUCUUCGGAUUGUAAACCCCUGUCAUGUGGGAGCAAAUUAAAAAGAUAGUACCACAAGAGGAAGAGACGGCUAACUCUGUGCCAGCAGCCGCGGUAAUACAGAGGUCUCAAGCGUUGUUCGGAAUCACUGGGCGUAAGGCGUGCGUAGGCUGUUUCGUAAGUCGUGUGUGAAAGGCGCGGGCUCAACCCGCGGACGGCACAUGAUACUGCGAGACUAGAGUAAUGGAGGGGGAAGCGGAAUUCGCGGUGUAGCAGUGAAAUGCGUAGAUAUCGAGAGGAACACUCGUGGCGAAGGCGGGUUCCUGGACAUUAACUGACGCUGAGGCACGAAGGCCAGGGGAGCGAAAGGGAUUAGAUACCCUUGUAGUC
rnacentral:rRNA from 1 species